rnacentral:rRNA from 1 species
UACAGAGGUCCCAAGCGUUGUUCGGAUUCAUUGGGCGUAAAGGGUGCGUAGGUGGCAUGGUAAGUCGGGUGUGAGAUCCCGGGGCUCAACCCCGGAACUGCACUCGAUACUGCCGUGCUCGAGUACUGGAGAGGAGACUGGAAUUUACGGUGUAGCAGUGAAAUGCGUAGAUAUCGUAAGGAAGACCGGUGGCGAAGGCUAGUCUCUGGACAGUUACUGACACUGAGGCACGAAGGCCAGGGGAGCAAACGGG